GAUCAUGGCUCAGGAUGAACGCUAGCUACAGGCUUAACACAUGCAAGUCGAGGGGCAGCAUGAACUUAGCUUGCUAAGUUUGAUGGCGACCGGCGCACGGGUGAGUAACACGUAUCCAACCUGCCGAUGACUCGGGGAUAGCCUUUCGAAAGAAAGAUUAAUACCCGAUGGCAUAGUUCUUCCGCAUGGUAGAACUAUUAAAGAAUUUCGGUCAUCGAUGGGGAUGCGUUCCAUUAGGCAGUUGGCGGGGUAACGGCCCACCAAACCUACGAUGGAUAGGGGUUCUGAGAGGAAGGUCCCCCACAUUGGAACUGAGACACGGUCCAAACUCCUACGGGAGGCAGCAGUGAGGAAUAUUGGUCAAUGGACGAGAGUCUGAACCAGCCAAGUAGCGUGAAGGAUGACUGCCCUAUGGGUUGUAAACUUCUUUUAUACGGGAAUAAAGUGAGCCACGUGUGGCUUUUUGUAUGUACCGUAUGAAUAAGGAUCGGCUAACUCCGUG
rnacentral:rRNA from 1 species